rnacentral:rRNA from 1 species
GACGAACCAUGCAAACGUUAUUCGGAAUUACUGGGCUUAAAGCGUGCGUAGGCGGCUCAGAAAGUUGGGUGUGAAAGCCCUCGGCCCAACCGAGGAAUUGCGCCCAAAACUACUGGGCUUGAGGGAGUUAGAGGUGAGCGGAACUCACGGUGGAGCGGUGAAAUGCGUUGAUAUCGUGAGGAACACCGGAGGCGAAAGCGGCUCACUGGGGCUUAUCUGACGCUGAGGCACGAAAGCUAGGGGAGCAAACGGG